AGUGAACGCUGGCGGUAGGCCUAACACAUGCAAGUCGAACGGCAGCACAGUAAGAGCUUGCUCUUACGGGUGGCGAGUGGCGGACGGGUGAGGAAUACAUCGGAAUCUACUUUUUCGUGGGGGAUAACGUAGGGAAACUUACGCUAAUACCGCAUACGACCUACGGGUGAAAGCAGGGGAUCUUCGGACCUUGCGCGAUUGAAUGAGCUGAUGUCGGAUUAGCUAGUUGGCGGGGUAAAGGCCCACCAAGGCGACGAUCCGUAGCUGGUCUGAGAGGGUGAUCAGCCACACUGGAACUGAGACACGGUCCAGACUCCUACGGGAGGCAGCAGUGGGGAAUAUUGGACAAUGGGCGCAAGCCUGAUCCAGCCAUACCGCGUGGGUGAAGAAGGCCUUCGGGUUGUAAAGCCCUUUUGUUGGGAAAGAAAAGCAGCAGGUUAAUACCCCGCUGUUCUGACGGUACCCAAAGAAUAAGCACCGGCUAACUUCGUG
rnacentral:rRNA from 1 species